CAGCAGCCGCGGUAAUACAGAGGUCUCAAGCGUUGUUCGGAUUCAUUGGGCGUAAAGGGUGCGUAGGUGGCGCCAUAAGUCGGGUGUGAAAUUUCGGAGCUUAACUCCGAAACUGCAUUCGAUACUGUGGUGCUUGAGGACUGGAGAGGAGACUGGAAUUCACGGUGUAGCAGUGAAAUGCGUAGAGAUCGUGAGGAAGACCAGUGGCGAAGGCGGGUCUCUGGACAGUUCCUGACACUGAGGCACGAAGGCCAGGGGAGCAAACGGGAUUAGAUACCCCGGUAGUCCUGGCAGUAAACGGUGCACGUUUGGUGUGGGGGGAUUCGACCCCUUCCGCGCCGGAGCUAACGCGUUAAACGUGCCGCCUGGGGAGUACGGUCGCAAGAUUAAAACUCAAAGAAAUUGACGG
rnacentral:rRNA from 1 species